UCUGAGGAUCCCAGUUCCAAGACAACCCAGGCAGGAAAGUCCAUGAGACUAUUACCUCCAAUUAAUUACCAGAAAACUAGAAGUGGCACUGUGGCUCACAGUGGUAGAGUGCUCGCCUUAAGCCAAAGAGCUUAGGGACAAGCACCCAGGCCUGAGUU